rnacentral:lncRNA from 1 species
GUAAAACGCUUGCCGAAGUGGGGCGUCCGUUUGACUGUGCGGGAUGUAUUAAGUUCGCAGUCACGUCCGGUCAGAAGGGGGACGUUAAAUCCGAUGCCUCGUGUGAAGAGAGUGCCACGCUCUUUGCACGUUAAGAACCCUUGCAACAACUCUUUUAGGGGUCCGUAGGUGGCCUGUUGCAAGGCAAAAUUUCUGUCCCUAUCCAAUAUACCCUCAUUUUCCAGUGGCAGUCCAAAUUUCCCCGACCAUCAUCCUAGAUGGCCUCUAUUACAACAACCUACCUAUUGUAUUUAUUGUGAACUUGUUCUCGUCCUGAAUAUGCAUGAAAUAUUUGCCACUGGACGUUAAGCAACCAACAAUCAAUCAAUCUUA